rnacentral:pre_miRNA from 1 species
UCUUAUGAUGAUAAAAUAAAGUGGUUUCUUAAAAUGGAAUCUACUCCAUUUGAAGAUGCUGUGAA